rnacentral:rRNA from 1 species
AGUGAACGCUGGCGGUAGGCCUAACACAUGCCAGUCGAACGGCAGCACAGUAAGAGCUUGCUCUUACGGGUGGCGAGUGGCGGACGGGUGAGGAAUACAUCGGAAUCUACUUUUUCGUGGGGGAUAACGUAGGGAAACUUACGCUAAUACCGCAUACGACCUACGGGUGAAAGCAGGGGAUCUUCGGACCUUGCGCGAUUGAAUGAGCCGAUGUCGGAUUAGCUAGUUGGCGGGGUAAAGGCCCACCAAGGCGACGAUCCGUAGCUGGUCUGAGAGGAUGGUCAGCCACACUGGAACUGAGACACGGUCAAGACUCCUACGGGAGGCAGCAGUGGGGAAUAUUGGACAAUGGGCGCAAGCCUGAUCCAGCCAUACCGCGUGGGUGAAGAAGGCCUUCGGGUUGUAAAGCCCUUUUGUUGGGAAAGAAAAGCAGCAGGUUAAUACCCCGCUGUUCUGACGGUACCCAAAGAAUAAGCACCGGCUAACUUCGUG